GACGAACGCUGGCGGCGUGCUUAACACAUGCAAGUCGAACGAUGAACCUUCCAUGAUCUAUUCGUAGAGAUUGGAAGCGGAUUAGUGGCGAACGGGUGAGCAACGCGUGAGCAACCUGCCUUAAACAACGGGAUAGCCUCGGGAAACCGGGAUUAAUACCGUAUGAGACCCCGCCUUCCCAUGAAGAAGAGGUUAAAGAUUUAUCGGUUUAAGAUGGGCUCGCGUCUGAUUAGCUAGUUGGUGAGAUAAAAGCCCACCAAGGCAACGAUCAGUAACCGGCUUGAGAGAGUGAACGGUCACAUUGGAACUGAGACACGGUCCAAACUCCUACGGGAGGCAGCAGUGGGGAAUAUUGCACAAUGGGGGAAACCCUGAUGCAGCGACGCCGCGUGAGCGAUGAAGGAAUUCGUUUCGUAAAGCUCUGUCCAAGGGGAAGAUAAUGACAGUAUCCUUGGAGGAAGCCCCGGCUAAAUACGUGCCAGCCGCCGCAGUAACAC
rnacentral:rRNA from 1 species